AGAGUUUGAUCAUGGCUCAGAUUGAACGCUGGCGGCAGGCUUAACACAUGCAAGUCGAGCGGGGAAAAGUAGCUUGCUACUUAACUUAGCGGCGGACGGGUGAGUAAUACUUAGGAAUCUGCCUAUUAGUGGGGGACAACAUUUCGAAAGGAAUGCUAAUACCGCAUACGUCCUACGGGAGAAAGCAGGGGAUCACUUGUGACCUUGCGCUAAUAGAUGAGCCUAAGUCGGAUUAGCUAGUUGGUGGGGUAAAGGCCUACCAAGGCGACGAUCUGUAGCGGGUCUGAGAGGAUGAUCCGCCACACUGGGACUGAGACACGGCCCAGACUCCUACGGGAGGCAGCAGUGGGGAAUAUUGGACAAUGGGGGGAACCCUGAUCCAGCCAUGCCGCGUGUGUGAAGAAGGCCUUUUGGUUGUAAAGCACUUUAAGCGAGGAGGAGGCUACUUUAGUUAAUACCUAGAGAUAGUGGACGUUACUCGCAGAAUAAGCACCGGCUAACUCUGUGCCAGCAGCCGCGGUAAUACAGAGGGUGCGAGCGUUAAUCGGAUUUACUGGGCGUAAAGCGUGCGUAGGUGGCCAAUUAAGUCAAAUGUGAAAUCCCCGAGCUUAACUUGGGAAUUGCAUUCGAUACUGGUUGGCUAGAGUAUGGGAGAGGAUGGUAGAAUUCCAGGUGUAGCGGUGAAAUGCGUAGAGAUCUGGAGGAAUACCGAUGGCGAAGGCAGCCAUCUGGCCUAAUACUGACACUGAGGUACGAAAGCAUGGGGAGCAAACAGGAUUAGAUACCCUGGUAGUCCAUGCCGUAAACGAUGUCUACUAGCCGUUGGGGUCUUUGAGACUUUAGUGGCGCAGCUAACGCGAUAAGUAGACCGCCUGGGGAGUACGGUCGCAAGACUAAAACUCAAAUGAAUUGACGG
rnacentral:rRNA from 1 species